AGCUGCACCGGAUCGACCGACCGGGUGACCACCAGGUAGUCGCGCAAUGCGACACUGUGCCGGGUCUC
rnacentral:sRNA from 1 species